rnacentral:misc_RNA from 1 species
ACAUAAGCAAGGGAGACAAAGUCUUUCUGAUUGCUCUGCUUGUAUUUAUUUCCUUCUUAAUGAGUGUGUAAAAAAAAAAAAAAUUGAUAUUCUGUUUGUCACGAUAGUUUUCAUCGAAGAUUUCUUUCCUAUCUGAUCUUUGAUUUUAAGAACAGAAGCUACUGAUACGCUUAAGGUGUUUCAUACUGCCAGUGAGCGAAUCAUUACAGAACUGGAAUUGUACAACUAUA